UACGUAGGGUGCAGGCGUUAAUCGGAAUUACUGGGCGUAAAGGGCGCGUAGGCGGCCGCCUAAGUCAGACGUGAAAUCCCUCGGCUCAACCGGGGAACUGCGUCUGAUACUGGGUGGCUUGAAUCCGGGAGAGGGAUGCGGAAUUCCAGGUGUAGCGGUGAAAUGCGUAGAUAUCUGGAGGAACACCGGUGGCGAAGGCGGCAUCCUGGACCAAGACUGACGCUCAGGUGCGAAAGCGUGGGGAGCAAACAGG
rnacentral:rRNA from 1 species